ACUCGGUCGGGUGCCGCAGGGGCCGCAGAGGCUGCUGAGGCGGCGCGGAUCCUGCUCUGGGAGCUGCGCUCCGUGGCCUACACCCUGGCGGGCGCGCGCUGACCCGCUUGGUUACUCCACGUUGCUGCCGCCGCCGCUUGCAAACGCUUCCAGCCUCCAGCUCCCUCCUUCUCCUGCUCCUCCUUCUCUUGCUCCAAACGCCAACCCAGCCACAGACGAUCAGCCGUCGCGGUUGCGUUCACCCCCUGCGGAUCACAACGGCAGCCCUUGCGACACCCUGGCUGGGGAGUUUUAUUCCUGAGGGGGUUGCGCAGGGGCUCCCUUGGACUCCCACCCUUUCCCAACCUCUGCUGGCUUCUCCCCAACGUGGAAUUGCUCGCUUAGGGAGCUUCUGGAGCUCCGCUCGGAGCGAACCUUCUGCUGCCAGCAGAUAACAUCACGAUCUUGCCGGGGAGGGGAGAUUUAUAAGUUCUCUCUGAACCACGUGUCUGCCUUCAACAAAGUGACGUGCUAGGAUUACAGUCAGAAGUCCUCUCGUUACUUAGACCACGAGCUCUCCCCGAACCGUUGAGGGAGUGUGGAAAUGAGGACCGCUGUGGGUAAGGGAGGAAGGAGGUGGAAUGUGCGCCCUGACAACAGUGAUUUACGUUACUCAAAGUCAACAUUUUCAUUUCGGCAUGACUCUGCAGCCAUACUGACCAGACAGAUGAUUUAAACUGGAAACUCUGUUGAAUGUACUCCCAAACCCAAGAUCUCUAUACUGUUCUCUACUUCAGAUGUUCCUGAGUUCAGAAAAGUCACAAAGAACUUUCUAUCACUUUUGGAAUUUAUACUUCAGUUGUGUAUGGGGCCUAGGUUAUUAGUAGAGCACUGAAUAAAUAAAAUAAUAAUAGCUAACAUAUACUACACUUAGUAAUUUGAUGUGUGUUGUGUAUGGUCAUUUAAUCUUCA
rnacentral:lncRNA from 1 species